rnacentral:tRNA from 1 species
GGGACCUUAGUUUAACUGGUAUAAUAUGUGACUCUUAGUCAUCCUUAGAUGGGUUCAAAGCCCAUAGGUCUCA